CACAAGACUCUCGGCAACGGAUAUCUCGGCUCUCGCAUCGAUGAAGAACGUAGCAAAAUGCGAUACCUGGUGUGAAUUGCAGAAUCCCGUGAACCAUCGAGUUUUUGAACGCAAGUUGCGCCCGAGGCCUUUCGGUCGAGGGCACGUCUGCCUGGGCGUCACGC
rnacentral:rRNA from 1 species